AGGGGUAUAGCUCAGUGGUAGACUACAUGCUUAGCAUGUACGAGUUUCUGGGUUCAAUCCUCAGUGCCUCCA
rnacentral:tRNA from 1 species